rnacentral:misc_RNA from 1 species
AACUUUUAACAACGGAUCACUUGGUUCUGGCAUCGAUGAAGAACGCAGCGAAAUGCGAUACGUAGUGUGAAUUGCAGAAUUCAGUGAAUCAUCGAAUCUUUGAACGCACAUUGCACCUCUCGGUAUUCCGGGAGGUAUGCCUGUUCGAGCGUCAUUUGUACCCUCAAGCUCUGCUUGGUGUUGGGUGUUUGUUCCGCCUCUGUGUGUGAACUCGCCUUAAAACAAUUGGCAGCCGGCGUACUUGUUUCGGAGCGCAGCACAUUUUUGCGCUUUAGACCAAUGUACAGCGGCAUCCAAGAAGCCUUCUUUAACGCUCUUGACCUCGGAUCAGGUAGGGAUACCCGCUGAACUUAAGCAUAUCAAUAAGCGGAGGCU